CUGAUGCAGCGACGCCGCGUGGGGGAUGACGGCCUUCGGGUUGUAAACUCCUUUCGCCAGGGACGAAGCGUUUUGUGACGGUACCUGGAGAAGAAGCACCGGCUAACUACGUGCCAGCAGCCGCGGUAAUACGUAGGGUGCAAGCGUUGUCCGGAAUUACUGGGCGUAAAGAGCUCGUAGGUGGUUUGUCGCGUCGUCUGUGAAAUUCCACAGCUUAACUGUGGGCGUGCAGGCGAUACGGGCAUAACUUGAGUACUGUAGGGGUAACUGGAAUUCCUGGUGUAGCGGUGAAAUGCGCAGAUAUCAGGAGGAACACCGAUGGCGAAGGCAGGUUACUGGGCAGUUACUGACGCUGAGGAGCGAAAGCAUGGGUAGCAAACA
rnacentral:rRNA from 1 species